rnacentral:rRNA from 1 species
UGAGGGAUAUUGGGCAAUGGGGGAAACCCUGACCCAGCGACGCCGCGUGAGGGAAGCCGGUCUUCGGAUUGUAAACCUCUUCAGCAUCGAAGAAGCGAAAGUGACGGUAGGUGCAGAAGAAGCGCCGGCUAACUACGUGCCAGCAGCCGCGGUAAUACGUAGGGCGCGAGCGUUGUCCGGAAUUAUUGGGCGUAAAGAGCUUGUAGGCGGUUUGUCGCGUCUGCUGUGAAAGCCCGGGGCCUAACCCCGGGCUUUGCAGUGGGUACGGGCUAACUAGAGUGCAGUAGGGGAGACUGGAAUUCCUGGUGUAGCGGUGGAAUGCGCAGAUAUCAGGAGGAACACCGAUGGCGAAGGCAGGUCUCUGGGCUGUAACUGACGCUGAGAAGCGAAAGCAUGGGGAGCAAACAGGAUUAGAUACC